rnacentral:sRNA from 1 species
AAAGCUGAACGCAAUGGCUGCGAGCGGAGCGACGAUAACGAGCAGCCCCAGCAUUGUAAUGACGA